rnacentral:rRNA from 1 species
UUGUUGGUAAGGUAAAAGCUUACCAAGGCUUCGAUCAGUAGCUGGUCUGAGAGGACGACCAGCCACACUGGGACUGAGACACGGCCCAGACUCCUACGGGAGGCAGCAGUGGGGAAUUUUGGACAAUGGGGGCAACCCUGAUCCAGCCAUGCCGCGUGAGUGAAGAAGGCCUUCGGGUUGUAAAGCUCUUUCAGCCGGAACGAAACGGUUACGGUUAAUACCUGUGACUACUGACGGUACCGGAAGAAGAAGCACCGGCUAACUACGUGCCAGCAGCCGCGGUAAUACGUAGGGUGCGAGCGUUAAUCGGAAUUACUGGGCGUAAAGCGUGCGCAGGUGGUUUUGUAAGUCAGAUGUGAAAGCCCCGGGCUCAACCUGGGAACUGCGUUUGAAACUACAAGACUAGAGUGUGGCAGAGGGGGGUGGAAUUCCGCGUGUAGCAGUGAAAUGCGUAGAGAUGUGGAGGAACACCGAUGGCGAAGGCAGCCCCCUGGGUCAACACUGACGCUCAGGCACGAAAGCAUGGGGAGCAAACAGGAUUAGAUACCCUGGUAGUCCAUGCCCUAAACGAUGUCAACUAGUUGUCGGGCCUUUACGGGCUUGGUAACGUAGCUAACGCGUGAAGUUGACCGCCUGGGGAGUACGAUCGCAAGAUUAAAACUCAAAUGAAUUGACGGGGACCCGCACAAGCGGUGGAUUAUGUGGAUUAAUUCGAUGCAACGCGAAAAACCUUACCUACCCUUGACAUGUAUCGAAGCCCGCAGAAAAGCGGGGGUGCCCGAAAGGGAACGAUAACACAGGUGCUGCAUGGCUGUCGUCAGCUCGUGUCGUGAGAUGUUGGGUUAAGUCCCGCAACGAGCGCAACCCUUGUCAUUAAUUGCCAUCAUUUAGUUGGGCACUUUAAUGAGACUGCCGG